AUACGUAGGGGGCGAGCGUUGUCCGGAAUGAUUGGGCGUAAAGGGCGCGUAGGCGGCGCGGUAAGUCUGGAGUGAAAGUCCUGCUUUCAAGGUGGGAAUUGCUUUGGAUACUGCCGCGCUUGAGUGCAGGAGAGGUUAUCGGAAUUCCCGGUGUAGCGGUGAAAUGCGUAGAGAUCGGGAGGAACACCAGUGGCGAAGGCGGGUAACUGGACUGCAACUGACGCUGAGGCGCGAAAGUGUGGGGAGCAAACAGGAUUAGAUACCCUGGUAGUCCACACUGUAAACGAUGAAUGCUAGGUGUAAGAGGUAUCGACCCCUUUUGUGCCGGAGUCAACACAAUAAGCAUUCCGCCUGGGGAGUGCGGCCGCAAGGUUGAAACUCAAAUGAAUUGACGGGG
rnacentral:rRNA from 1 species